rnacentral:rRNA from 1 species
UACGGAGGGGGCUAGCGUUGUUCGGAAUUACUGGGCGUAAAGCGCACGUAGGCGGCUUUGUAAGUUAGAGGUGAAAGUCCGGGGCUCAACCCCGGAAUAGCCUUUAAGACUGCAUCGCUUGAACACGGGAGAGGUGAGUGGAAUUCCGAGUGUAGAGGUGAAAUUCGUAGAUAUUCGGAAGAACACCAGUGGCGAAGGCGGCUCACUGGACCGUUGUUGACGCUGAGGUGCGAAAGCGUGGGGAGCGAACGGG